rnacentral:rRNA from 1 species
CCUACGGGAGGCAGCAGUGGGGAAUAUUGGACAAUGGGCGAAGGCCUGAUCCAGCCAUGCCGCGUGUGUGAAGAAGGCCUUCGGGUUGUAAAGCACUUUCAGUGGGGAAGAAAGCCUUGGGGCUAAUACCCUCGAGGAAGGACAUCACCCACAGAAGAAGCACCGGCUAACUCCGUGCCAGCAGCCGCGGUAAUACGGAGGGUGCGAGCGUUAAUCGGAAUUACUGGGCGUAAAGCGCGCGUAGGCGGUCUGAUAAGCCGGUUGUGAAAGCCCCGGGCUCAACCUGGGAACGGCAUCCGGAACUGUCAGGCUAGAGUGCAGGAGAGGAAGGUAGAAUUCCCGGUGUAGCGGUGAAAUGCGUAGAGAUCGGGAGGAAUACCAGUGGCGAAGGCGGCCUUCUGGACUGACACUGACGCUGAGGUGCGAAAGCGUGGGUAGCAAACAGGAUUAGAUACCCCGGUAGUC